UACGGAGGGUGCGAGCGUUGUCCGGAAUCACUGGGCGUAAAGGGCGCGUAGGUGGCGCGACAAGUCAACGGUGAAAGCUCGGCGCUCAACGCCGAGUCGGCCGUCGAUACUGUUGGGCUUGAGCACUGUAGAGGCUAAUGGAAUUCCGGGUGUAGCGGUGGAAUGCGUAGAGAUCCGGAAGAACACCGAUGGCGAAGGCGGUUAGCUGGGCAGUUGCUGACACUGAGGCGCGACAGCGUGGGGAGCAAACAGG
rnacentral:rRNA from 1 species